AGAGUUUGAUCCUGGCUCAGGAUGAACGCUAGCGGCAGGCUUAAUACAUGCAAGUCGAGGGGCAGCGGGGGUAGCAAUACCUGCCGGCGACCGGCAAACGGGUGCGGAACACGUACACAACUUUCCUUUAAGUGGGGGAUAGCCCAGAGAAAUUUGGAUUAAUACCCCGUAACAUUAUGAGAUGGCAUCAUUUUAUAAUUAAAGCUCCGGCGCUUAAAGAUGGGUGUGCGGCUGAUUAGGUAGUUGGCGGGGUAACGGCCCACCAAGCCUUCGAUCAGUAACUGGUGUGAGAGCACGACCAGUCACACGGGCACUGAGACACGGGCCCGACUCCUACGGGAGGCAGCAGUAAGGAAUAUUGGUCAAUGGACGCAAGUCUGAACCAGCCAUGCCGCGUGAAGGAUGAAGGUCCUCUGGAUUGUAAACUUCUUUUAUUUGGGAAGAAAUCCAUUUUUUCUAAAGUGGUUGACGGUACCAGAUGAAUAAGCACCGGCUAACUCCGUGCCAGCAGCCGCGGUAAUACGGAGGGUGCAAGCGUUAUCCGGAUUCACUGGGUUUAAAGGGUGCGUAGGUGGGCAGGUAAGUCAGUGGUGAAAUCUCCGGGCUUAACCCGGAAACUGCCAUUGAUACUAUCUGUCUUGAAUACCGUGGAGGUGAGCGGAAUAUGUCAUGUAGCGGUGAAAUGCUUAGAUAUGACAUAGAACACCAAUUGCGAAGGCAGCUCACUACGCGAAUAUUGACACUGAGGCACGAAAGCGUGGGGAUCAAACAGGAUUAGAUACCCUGGUAGUCCACGCCCU
rnacentral:rRNA from 1 species